CGAGUCGAGUCAUUUCAGUUUCUGAUCGAGUCGAGUCAGUGGCUUCACUCGAGUCGAGUCAGCAGUUUCACUCGAGUCAAGUCGAGUCAUUGGUUUAAGUCGAGUCGAGUCAAUAGCUAGACUUAACUUGAGUCAGGGAAUUUGUUCAAGUCCACCCACAUCCUAGUCCCCAGGGCCUUUCGGCCGCGCGCGUCCUCCCUAGGCCCUGGAGCAUACGGAACCAGAAGUGCAAGUAAACUUGCAGUAGUUUCUAAAGCGCAUGGUC